CCUACGGGAGGCAGCAGUAAGGAAUAUUGGACAAUGCUCGCAAGAGUGAUCCAGCCAUGCCGCGUGCGGGAAGAAUGCCCUAUGGGUAGUAAACUGCUUUUGAACUAGAGAAAAUCCCAGUACGGGUACUGGGCUGAUAGUAUAGUUAGAAUAAGCAUCGGCUAACUUCGUGCCAGCAGCCGCGGUAAGACGAAGGAUGCAAGCGUUAUCCGGAUUCAUUGGGUUUAAAGGGAGCGUAGGUGGACUGAUAAGUCAGUGGUGAAAUCUCCGAGCUUAACUCGGAAAUUGCCAUUGAUACUGUUGGUCUUGAGUACAGUUGCUGUGGGCGGAAUAUGACAUGUAGUGGUGAAAUACAUAGAGAUGUCAUAGAACACCGAUUGCGAAGGCAGCUCACAAAGCUGUAACUGACACUGAGGCUCGAAAGUGCGGGGAUCAAACAGGAUUAGAUACCCUGGUAGUCCGCACCGUAAACGAUGAUUACUCGCUGCUAGGGGGCAACCUUUAGUGGCUUAGCGAAAGCGAAUAAGUAAUUCCACCUGGGGUUAGGUUACGCGGCGACGGAGAACGACGAAGAAGUUAGACGGCGNGAGACGCGACGACGACGACGACGGAGGAGGAG
rnacentral:rRNA from 1 species